rnacentral:rRNA from 1 species
AUUGAACGCUGGCGGCAGGCUUAACACAUGCAAGUCGAGCGGGGAAGGGUAGCUUGCUACCUGACCUAGCGGCGGACGGGUGAGUAAUGCUUAGGAAUCUGCCUAUUAGUGGGGGACAACAUUCCGAAAGGAAUGCUAAUACUGCAUACGCCCUACGGGGGAAAGCAGGGGAUCUUCGGACCUUGCGCUAAUAGAUGAGCCUAAGUCAGAUUAGCUAGUUGGUGGGGUAAAGGUCUACCAAGGCGACGAUCUGUAGCGGGUCUGAGAGGAUGAUCCGCCACACUGGGACUGAGACACGGCCCUGACUCCUACGGUAGGCAGCAGUGGGGAAUAUUGGACAAUGGGCGCAAGCCUGAUCCAGCCAUGCCGCGUGUGUGAAGAAGGCCUUUUGGUUGUAAAGCACUUUAAGCGAGGAGGAGGCUACUUGGAUUAAUACUCUAGGAUAGUGGACGUUACUCGCAGAAUAAGCACCGGCUAACUCUGUGCCAGCCGCCGCGGUAA